AACGAACGCUGGCGGCAGGCUUAACACAUGCCAGUCGAACGCACCUUUCGGGGUGAGUGGCCGACGGGUGAGUAACGCGUGGGAAUCUACCCUUCUCUACGGGAUAGCUCCGGGAAACUGGAAUUAAUACCGUAUACGUCCUGAGGGAGAAAGAUUUAUCGGGGAAGGAUGAGCCCGCGUUGGAUUAGCUAGUUGGUGGGGUAAAGGCCUACCAAGGCGACGAUCCAUAGCUGGUCUAAGAGGAUGAUCAGCCACAUUGGGACUGAGACACGGCCCAAACUCCUACGGGAGGCAGCAGUGGGGAAUAUUGGAAAAUGGCCGCAAGCCUGAUCCAGCCAGGCCGCGUGAGUGAUGAAGGCCCUAGGGUUGUGAAGCUCUUUCAGUGGGGACGAUAAUGACGGUACCCACAGAAGAAGCCCCGGCUAACUUCGUG
rnacentral:rRNA from 1 species